rnacentral:misc_RNA from 1 species
AAGUCGUAACAAGGUUUCCGUAGGUGAACCUGCGGAAGGAUCAUUAACACGUAUCCAAACGUUAAACCCCCCCCGUGAACCUUCAUCGUGCUCUAGUGGGCCACUGAUAAACACAGCAAUUCCUGGUAAAUCAUUGUCUGAACAAGCCUUUGAGUCAGGAACCUCUGUGCAGUGCGAGCUACACCCACUAUAGAAGCGCUAGUUCCAUCGGCAUUGUUUCCCCAAGCAGCCAGUGGGCAGAGCUUUGCCAAAGGGUCCCCAUGCCCCUUCCUUCUGCCGAUUUCACAUACAAAGCUCCAUUUUCAAUUAUGGAUGGGGUAAAACCGAACAACUGUUAACAAUGGAUAUCUUGGUUCUC